CGUCUUUAUGGUGCCAUCGGCAAGGAAGGCCAGAAGCAGCCGGUACGCCCCAUGUCCAUUGACACGAUUGGGCAGAGGAUCUCCCGGUACAGGGGUAUCACCAGAGGACGAGCCCAUUGCAGGAGCCUAGAAGGUCGAUCUUCUGGAUCUCAGGCGAUUCAGUGAGGAAGGAGAACGAAGCGUCGACGAGAGGCGAUUGGUUCUCGUCUAAAUGAGGUUUGCUGAAGACGCUUGCCAUUUCGUCGGUAAGAUGUAAGUAAGCUGCAGCUCAUUCUACUCAGUUCAUUCCAUCCUCGCGCUCUGCUCCCCGCAUGCUCACCAUGUGCUUGAUGAAAAGCCGGUUAGGAUUCCCAACAAUAUUAUUAUGAUAAUAUUUGCUGUUUUCGAGCAUAUGCAAUAUUUUAUUGUCAACAGAGUGGAUAAGGAGCCAAACUUCCACUUCUGCCAACUAUGAGAGAAGUCAAGCAUGGAUUGGAUGAUGGCGUCUGUUUAAUGCAGUCAUGGGGCUUUCCUGUUGCAGGCAGUCAAGUGAGUUGAACGCUAAUUAUGAUCCUCAAAGUAUUAGUCCAGUGCUUGUUGUGUAAAUCGUUAUGGUUUAGACGACACAUGGCAUUAUUGUAGUCCUAGAUUGCUAGCCCACCGAUAUAGGUUGCAACAUUGCUGUUCUGUGGCACUAAGCCCUUCAUGUGUGAACUCUGAACUUUUAUGUCCGUGCCACACUUGAUCUGCUAUAGACAUAUUACAAAUGCAAGUUCGCAUCGGUCAAUUCAACACGAGCUAUACAUUUGUUUCUUUGCUAGGUGUGCGUAGUUGCUUGGUAUGCUUGCUUGAAUCAAAUUUAGAGAUGCAGAUUAGUCUACCAUUGUUCAGGAUUGGAGGCAAUUAAUUUAGGAAUGGGUACACAGGCCACCUAGCUUCCAUUAGUACUACAACAUUAGAGGGGUAGAGGUAGACCUAAACUGACGUGGGAUGAGUCGGUUAUGAGAGACCUUAAGGAUUGGAAUAUCUCUAAAGAGAUAGCUUUGGAUAGGAGCGCUUGGAGACUAGCUAUCAAUGUGCCUGAACCUUGAAUUUAUUUCUUUCGGGUUUCAUCUCUAGCCUACCCCAAUUUGCUUGGGAAAAAAGGCUAUGUUGUUGUUGUUGCGGUGGUGGACCUCUCUUCCUCACCUCUUCUUCUCAAGAUGGCGGCCGAUGUUCUUUCAUCGUCCACGAUGUGCUUCGGCUUGGGUGCCGGGAGCCGGCUCUUGUGGCAACAAAAUUUCACGCCCCUUAGGAGGAUUGGUGGUGGACCUUGCCUUGCUGUGAGUCGUCUUCUCCGACGGACGGAAGGCCGGCGGCGAGGAGCUCCGGCGGCUUUGGGAAGCGUCUGGUGGUUGGGGAUUGCAGCUUGUAAUUUCCUUUUUCUCUAGGGUGCUUUCUGUAAAUGUGCGGGGAUGUACUGUUUCAGGUCACCGGUUUCGGUGAUGGCAGAUUUGCUUGGUGUCUUCCUUUUUCUUCGGUGGCAGAAAGAAGAAGACGGAAGACACAAAAAAGGAGUUUCUCCACUUCGCCUGCAGGAGUGUUGGCCGCCAUUCUUUGGGCUUCUGUUCUCAUGUUUGUUGCUGGGUGUUUGCCUGUGCACGCCGAGUGUUUGCCUGUGCGGCCUUCUAUGCGAAGCGUCAUAUAGGUCUGAAGUUGAGAAUUUAGACUAUACAAGACUUUUAGAUGAUCAUGUUGUAUUCCAGCGUGCUUGUAACCUGAUGAUGUACUCAACUAUGGUCUAAUAUAUUCCUUCAUUCGUCUAAAAAAAAAACUUUCUUCCA